rnacentral:tRNA from 1 species
GGGGGAGUAGUUCAACUGGAUAGAAUAACAGAUUUCGGCUCUGUUGGUUAGGGGUUCGAAUCCUCUCUCCCUCACUA